rnacentral:rRNA from 1 species
CAGAGGGUGCUAGCGUUGUUCGGAAUCACUGGGCGUAAAGGGCGCGUAGGCGGCUUUGUAAGUCAGAGGUGAAAGCCUGGAGCUUAACUCCAGAAUUGCCUUUGAUACUGCUUAGCUAGAGUCUGAAAGAGGGUAGUGGAAUUCCUAGUGUAGAGGUGAAAUUCGUAGAUAUUAGGAGGAACACCAGUGGCGAAGGCGACUACCUGGUUCAGUACUAACGCUGAGGCGCGAAAGCGUGGGGAGCAAACAGGAUUAGAUACCCUGGUAGUCCACGCCUUAAACGAUGAGUGCUAGUUGUUGGGGGCUUAGUCCCUCAGUGACGAAGCUAACGCGAUAAGCACUCCGCCUGGGAAGUACGGCCGCAAGGUUG